GGUUCCAUGGUCUAGUGGUUAGGACAUUGGACUCUGAAUCCAGUAACCCCGAGUUUAAAUCUCAGUGGAACCU